GGGUCUAUGAUGACAAAACUGUGUAAUGAAAAGAGAUGUUGACUUAAAAAUCAUGCUCAAUAGAAUGAUGCUGAGGCCC